UGUUGUAAAAUAUAUCCUAUAGAUAUCGUUCCUCAUGUGUAACGUUUACAAUAUCAAUUCUGCUAGGGACAGUCGGGAGAUACAAUCGACGUGUAGUUGUCUAAUAUAUUAUGCCACGUCAGUCGAGUUAUUAUAAAAAUUAAAUUAAAAAAAAAAAAAAAACCCAAGCAAAAUAGAAGGAGAAAUGUAGAUGUUGUCUUCUUUGUUGGUGGGUGUCUUCGUUCCCUCAUCGGUAGAAGCAAGGAUCAACUCCAGAAAACUCCAACAACAACAGUAAGGGAAAGCAAAGAUGAGGAGAAUCGCCUAAACGAAGACAACGACUAUGUGGAAAUUUUUUUUUUUUUAAUUUUUGCUUAUUUUUUUAUUUCCUAGAUGUAAAUCUGAGUGUUUAAUUUGUGUUGUUGUUCCAUUUAGUGAAAAUGUUUGCAAAGCUAGGACUUUUUUAUUUCUUGGAUUUAGAACUGCUUCUCGACUCUUGUUCGUCAGAAUCUAUUUUUUGUUGUUGGGUUUCUCAACUAGAUCUAUUUCUAUGCAAUUUCUAUUAUUGGAGUUGUUAAUGUAGAUAUAAGUUGAAGAAAAUUGUAAUCUCUUCAGUCCUC